rnacentral:rRNA from 1 species
AUUGAACGCUGGCGGCAUGCUUUACACAUGCAAGUCGAACGGUAACAGGCCUUCGGGUGCUGACGAGUGGCGAACGGGUGAGUAAUGCAUCGGAACGUACCCAGAGGUGGGGGAUAACGCAGCGAAAGCUGUGCUAAUACCGCAUGUGAUCUGAGGAUGAAAGCGGGGGACCGAGCAGCAAUGUUUGGCCUCGCGCCUUUGGAGCGGCCGAUGUCGGAUUAGCUAGUUGGUGGGGUAAAGGCCUACCAAGGCGACGAUCCGUAGCUGGUCUGAGAGGACGACCAGCCACACUGGGACUGAGACACGGCCCAGACUCCUACGGGAGGCAGCAGUGGGGAAUUUUGGACAAUGGGCGCAAGCCUGAUCCAGCAAUGCCGCGUGCGGGAAGAAGGCCUUCGGGUUGUAACCCGCUUUUGGCAGGAACGAAACGGUGUCCGCUAAUACCGGGCGCUAAUGACGGUACCUGCAGAAUAAGCACCGGCUAACUACGUG